rnacentral:rRNA from 1 species
GAUGAACGCUAGCGGCAGGCCUAAUACAUGCAAGUCGAACGGGCUUAUGUUUUUCGGAAUAUGAGUUAGUGGCGCACGGGUGAGUAACACGUACAUGACCUGCCCUAUACUGGGGGAUAGUCUUGGGAAACUGAGAAUAAUCCCGCAUGUGAUUAGAAUGCUGCAUGGCAAAUUAAUUAAAGCUGAGGCGGUAUAGGAUGGGUGUGCGUCUGAUUAGCUAGUUGGUAGGGUAAUGGCCUACCAAGGCAACGAUGACUAGGGGGUCUGAGAGGAUGAUCCCCCACACUGGUACUGAGACACGGCCCAUACUCCUACGGGAGGCAGCAGUAAGGAAUAUUGGACAAUGGGGGAAACCCUGAUCCAGCAACGCCGUGUGAGUGAUGAAGGUCUUCGGAUUGUAAAGCUCUGUUAGCCGGGACAAAACCCGCAAGCAUCAGAUCCUUGCGAUUGAUGGUACCGGCAGAGGAAGCACCGGCUAA